UUUCAACUAUAAGGAAUCUCGGUCACAUAACACAACAUCUACCUCUUGUUUUGCAGGCAAAUCUUACCUUCGUCCCUUGGCUGUUAUGACAAAAGAAUUUGAAGACCUGCAUACAGGAUCAGCCAGCGUCCUGAAGGCACAAUGUUCUUCGCAUGUACCUUUAUUGGUCUCCUCCCUUACGACUGUGACUUCUCAAGGACUUCCAUAGGAUUACCCAUGCAAGAAGUGAAGAGCCGAGCCUCCUGUUUGCAAACCCUCCCAUGCAAGAUUCAUGCUGAAGUCAACAAUGUCCUUCGAAUCUAAUUUAAACAUGAAGAGGGGAGUCAUGGAGCUGGGAACUACAGUGGAAAGGCUGUCCUGAAAGAAGUGAAGUGUUUCACCUAGAAUAUACUGGCUCACCACCAGAAAACCACAAGACGGGUAGAACCUUUCAAAGUCGGGGCCCUGUGAUCAAAGGAGGCACAGAAAAAUGGUUCUUCUAUAAACCUUUCUGCUGAUGGCUGAAACCUGGAGAUUCUGUGGCUCUCUGACUCCGUUCUCUGAGCAGAUGCUGUGACAUUUUCUUGCCCUACUUGAGAGAGCCCAACUGGUUAGUACAGUGGGUUGCUGGUGUUGGUUUGUUUGUUUGUUUGUUCUAUCUUCCUUGUGUCCAUAGAACUUGUCCUCUGCUUGUUCAUCCUGAC
rnacentral:lncRNA from 1 species